AUGGCUGUGCUAGCCAAGUGCAUUAUUGUGUUCUCCCUCUCCGCCGUCCUCCUCUCUCUGCUUGCCACCGGCGCUUCCGCCGUGGGCCAGCCCCCGCCUCAGUCGCUGCUGAACUUCAGCAUCGGCGUGCAGGGCAUGGUCUGGUGUAGGACCUGCAGGUACAGUGGCUACAACGCCGACAUGGACGCCUCCCCGCUCCAAGGCGCGGUGGUGUACCUGCAGUGCCGGCACGGCCCGCGGCGGCUGAAGAGGGUGGCAGGGGUGACGGGCCAGGGCGGCUACUUCAUCAUCCAGUCGUCGCAGAUGGCGUCCUUCACCAGCAAAGAGUGCAAGGUGUACGUGGAGAGCUCGUCGUCGUCGGUGUGCAGCCUCGCCGACCAACCGGCCGCCGGCAAGGGGCUGCCGCUCAAGUUCGAGUCCUUCGUCAAGCAGGGCGACGGCCUGCAGGCGCUCUACUCCGUCGGCAACUUCAUGUUCCGCCCCAGCGACCCCAACAAGUGCUACUGA
rnacentral:rRNA from 1 species